UUUUUUUAUUAAACGGUUUAUCAAAUAAAUGUAAAAUCUAAGGUAUGUUAUGCUACCAACACAUUUGCUACCAGGUUCACGAAUAUGUGUUCGUUGUGUCUAGCAUUAUUCUAAGUUAAAAGACUAAAGAUGUAAUUUUGCCAAUUUGUAUUACCCACGGUAACGAUUUUAAUGCAGUUGGAGCAUCGAAAGAAAAAAACAAUUAUACAACAUCGAGAGAGAGAGAGAGAGAGAGAGAGAGAGAGAGAAUUAUACUCGUUCCUCUCAUAAACCGAGAAUUGUCUAGUCCCCUUGCACUUUCAAAAGAUUUUCACUUUAAUCAAACAAGAUUACAAUUUGCUCAAACGCACAUGUAAGAGACUUCCUUUCCUCAUGCUCAAAAAAAAAAAAAAAAAAAAGACUUCCUUUCCUCAAUCACACAAGAAAGAGACUUCUACAAUCAGAGUUUAAUCAAAUAAAAAGAUUGUUGUUUUACACUUAAUAUGCAAUCAGAGUUGUAAGAAAUUUAGUUUCAGAUGACUUCUGAUACUUAAGAAAGUCUAAUAUAUAAAGGUUUGUAAGUAUUUCUCAAAGUGUUUGUGCGCUAUUUAAUUUGACAAAGUAAGGGCACUUGUAAAAUGACGGAAGUCUUGUGGUUUUUCUUCAACUGCUCAUGUCCUUAUAUAUGAAAGACUGAGAGACUCGUUGUUGAGAGACUCGUGGUUUCCCCCUUCGUCUUUGUUGGAAAUUAAAUUAAUAAAUCAUUCAUUUAUAACUUGCCUUAUAUUGGAUUUAAGAAAUUAGAACAUAACUCGUUACGGCUCUGUAGACAAAGCUUUCCCCGCAAUUCACCCUUGCAAAUUAAUAGGGUCCCGAAAGAGGAGAAGGCCAACAACCGUGUGAAGGCCAACAUCCUCUCCCACAUCACCAUCACAAAGAGAAGAAAAAUAGGCCGUCUUCGCGAGAACAAACGCACCUGAAUCAUUUUGAAGACAUAUUCCGAUACCUACCAUAUUUGAAGAAAAGGAGAAUUAGACAUCAAUGUUACAUUUGUACCUACCUCGUGUUGGUUUUGUCCACCCCACCACUUAUCUGCUAUUGGUGCCAUCUUGUGACGUAGAGAUACAUGUUAUUCUUUGAGACCGAAUAUGUUGUGCAGCUCGCCGUUUCUCAAGGAGAUGGGUUGCACGCUCAACAACCUGCCUACUCGUCUCAUUUUGUUGUUGCCACAAUUUUAAAUUCCUACGCUUCCAUAAACUCGACAUAAUCGUAACAACCAAUACACUUUGGACUGAUGGUAAUUGAUGGAUAAGAGAAAAAAAUCAGAGCAUCCAUAUUAUAAUUUUGGCGGAGAGUUCUAUCAACCGUAUCCCAUAACUAUACAUCACGUCAAGCUUGAAUCGCCCCUGGACAUUCCAACAACACAUGAAUACUAUCUUCAUAAUUACUACCACAAAGAACACAAUCAAUCAGACAAUGAACUCCUCGACUACUAAGGCGUGCACGCGUGGGAAAACAGCCCCGACACACGUGCCACACUUUUUUUUAUUUUUUAUCUUGGGUGAAACCUUCAGCUUCCAAAUUAAAUUCCACCUACUCGGAAUAUGUAAGUGGGAAUUAUCUACAAUUUCAUUCACACAAACCUGAUACGCACUUCGUACAAAAUAAUAUCAUACUUUUCAGCCUUCCAUAUCAAUUUAUCUUCAAAAUGACAAAGAUUUUUAUAUCCUAUAAGAUAUGUUAAAAAUUUCCUUAAUCAUCAAAUAUAAAGUACACUUAGUAUAAUUAAUCUAGUUUUUUUUUUUUUUUUUAAUGAAAGAUGAGAUGUAUUAAUUCAAAAAAUCAUGAAAGUACACAUCUAAAAUUUGGGUUGGCAACUCCUCUAUCCAUAUGCUAUUAGGAUUAGAGUGGGCAACUUGGGCCAUUCUAUGGGCCGCUACAUUACAAUCUCUAGGGAUAAAAUUGAACCGACAUCUGUCAAAACUAUAUUGCAGCCUUUGGAUUUCUUUUAUAAUACUCCCGAGAUAAGAUCUCUCCUCAUCCUUAUCUUCCUUCAGAAUCCUAAAAACCUUCUCAUUGUCUGAAACCACAAUCUAUGGCUAAACGAACCGUGAAUAAAGAGACUGAAGGCUUCAGCUAAGAUCACCUCUUCUGACCCUUUAACUUUCCAAGCAGCCGAGGCCAUUACCAAACCGUUGUUAUUUCGAAUAAUGGAACUAAGUCCCCACCAUCCUUUGACUUGAAGAUUUGAAUCGCAAUUUGCUUUUAGGAGACCUUCUUCUGGCUUUUUCCAUUUAGAGCGAUUGGGUAGCUUAGGGGGACACGCAGAGAGAUGGCGAUGCUGAUUGUCAAAGUCAAAACGCGUGUUGGCUUUCACGAACUCAUAAAUGCUUCUUUCAGAACGUUGGAUAAUGUCAAUUUCAGAUUGUUGAUGGGUAGCGGAGGUGGAUCCAAUCUUGAAACUGGGUAGGAAUUUGCAAUUUUUGUAUUUUGUUGGGGCGAUGAAUGGUUGAAUGGGUGUUAGAAUGAAUUUCAGGAAUCAUGGUGUUAGAGUUAACACCGUUUUCUUCUGGUUGAGCCAUGUUAUGGGAAAGAAAGAAUUGGGGAAAGAAAGAACAAUAAAGGACGAUGCUCAAAGAGGGGAGGGAUGAAGGUGGAGAAAAGAAGGUAGGGAAAGGCUAUGGAAGAAAGACGAGAAAAAGGAACAACCUUGAAGGAGGAAGUGAAGAAGAGAGAAACUAAUCACCGUAAGGUGUUAGUACAAACCAAGAAGGAGAAAACAAGGAAUAAGAGAAAGAGGGAGAAAACUAAUCACCAAAAGGUGUAAACCCAAACCAAGAACUGGAGAAAACAGGGGAACAACUAUCAACAACCAAGCAUGAUUGAAGAAGGAAAACCGAGCGGGCUCAAAAUAUUUCGGGAGAAUGUGAUUUCUAGUAUUUGGUCAUAAUUAGUCUAGUUAAUAUAACUAUAAUUAACAGGGAAAGGUCGAAAUGUUGCAAUUUAUUAGAAAUUGAAUUGAAUUGUAUGCAGCGUUUAUCUAAUUUUUGUAAAUAUUGUAGCGAUUAACAUAAUAAAUAUGCAUUAUAGUGUGAUUUAA